AUGAUCCUGUGGCUGAAUUUGGUUUCCUUCCUAGCAAUCCUCAGAGGUGUCCUGUCAGAGGCCCAGUUGGUGGAGUCCGGAGGGGACAUGAGGAGGCCUGGAGAGUCCCUCCGUCUCUCAUGCCAAGGCUCCGGCUUCACCUUCAGCAGCUAUGACAUGAGCUGGGUGAGACAGGCACCUGGAAAAGGGCUGGAAUGGGUCGCACUCAUAUGGACCAAUUCCGGUAAGCAGUACUAUGCAGAGUCUGUGAAGGGACGCUUCACCAUCUCCAGGGACAACUCCAAAAGCCAAGUCUACCUGCAAAUGAGCAGCCUGAAGCUGGAGGACUCAGCAGUCUAUUACUGUGCAAGACACACAGUGAGAGGAAGUGAGUCUGAAGCCUGGCAAAAACCUUCCCUUCCUCAGAGC